UUUCAAGAAGGCAGUUCUCCAUGAAGUAUGCUCUGCACCUUGUCUUGGAUGCGCCAUUUGACUUCACAGCUGACAAAGGUGUUCACUAAAGGGGCACUGGAGAGUGUGAAUGAGGCCCAGAGCAG